AUACGGAGGGUGCAGGCGUUACUCGGAAUCACUGGGCGUAAAGCGCGCGCAGGCGGUCUUUUAAGUUGGAUGUGAAAGCCUACAGCUCAACUGUAGAACUGCAUCCAAAACUAUUAGACUAGAGUCUGGGAGGGGAAGAUGGAAUUAGUUGUGUAGGGGUAAAAUCCGUAGAGAUAACUAGGAAUACCAAAAGCGAAGGCGAUCUUCUGGAACAGUACUGACGCUGAGGCGCGAAAGCGUGGGGAGCAAACAGGAUUAGAUACCCCGGUAGUCC
rnacentral:rRNA from 1 species